rnacentral:rRNA from 1 species
UCGAGAAUCUUUCGCAAUGGGGGAAACCCUGACGACGCGACGCCGCGUGGAGGAUGAAGGCCUUCGGGUUGUAAACUCCUGUCAGCAGGGGAGAACAAGCUUUUGGUGAAUAAUCAAGAGCUUUGACAGUACCUGCAGAGGAAGCCACGGCUAACUCUGUGCCAGCAGCCGCGGUAAUACAGAGGUGGCAAGCGUUGUUCGGAAUCACUGGGCUUAAAGCGCGUGUAGGCGGCUUAGAAAGUGUCGUGUGAAAUCCCGCGGCUCAACCGCGGAACUGCACGGCAAACUACUUGGCUUGAGGUCGGUAGAGGUGAGCGGAAUUCCCGGUGUAGUGGUAAAAUACGUAGAGAUCGGGAGGAACACCAGCGGCGCAGGCGGCUCACUAGACAGUUUCUGACGCUAAGAUACGAAAGCGUGGGGAGCAAACA